ACGACCCGUGUAUCAAUAGACCCGAAGGUCAUGUGAGUUUAAUCCAUGGAAUUUACUGUAAAUAAACCUUUGUUUUGAAAUUUUUGUAACUACUUGAUGCGGGAAAGAUGUAUCUUUGCGAUCAAUGUACAGAAACUCUAGUGUUGUGUGCACAUGAUGGUUCUCAAUGAUAGAACUUCCCUUAAGCAUUCCAAUCCUUUUAUCACCAAGUAUAACCCUGUGGGUGGAAUUGUUUUAGUACUCUAGUCAUGGGAACUGAGGUAAGUGUUUUAAUCCUUUCAAAUCCUCUACACUCAAUCCAUCUGGCAUUUCCUAACCAAAGUUGAUGAUGCAUAACAUUUGCAAGAGUAAAUUCAACUGUAGCAACUGGCAACUGCAUUCCUCCUUUCGCCCUACACCAAAUGAAAUUUACUUGAAAUCAUGUCAUCUGAAAUCCAAAUCUCUGUUCAUAAAUUUAUCAGCCCUUUAACUCAGUGUCCUUGAUGCUGUAAAGCACAUCUUAUUCGGAUCCUCCUUGGUCAACAUUGAACUUUUUCCAUUCACCGUCUUCGCCUUGUCUUGCAACUUCUCUAUUACUUUUGGAUUCCAAACAAGCACUGCCAUGGCCGCCUCCAAGAAUAUGCAUGAGGCACCAACCAAAGUUCAUUUUUAGAGAAGAUGACGCACACCUGAUUCUCACUUCUCUUUGUGCAAGAAUUUAGAGUUUCUUACUCAGAGAUUGUUGGAAUGUGCAGUCAAUUCUCAACUGCAAGUUUGUGUCGCCCCAGGGAUUUUCAAAACUUGACAUCUUGAAGAACUAAGGGAUUCCUGAAAUACUUUCAAACCCUUUGUUGUUGUUUUUGGGGAUACCAAUCAAUCACCACUUGUUUUUCCUGCUUCAACUUUUUUAUCAAGAAUUUGGAAUUGCUGGCAACUAUGUAUUAUCAGAAUCAAGCAGAAGUUCGUUCCAUGCAGAUGAAAUUAAGACAUUAUCACAUGUUAUGUGUUGUAUCAUCUUUUGCACUAGUUUUCGAAUGUUGAAAAUUAAACAUGUUUUGAUUUCUCUCUAGCUUACUACCUUUUGCACU